ACCCAGCUGACGAGUCCCAAAUAGGAUGGAACAAGGGUCCUAGAU
rfam:Schistosoma mattheei strain Denwood, Zambia genome assembly, scaffold: SMTD_scaffold0001200